AAAGAUUAAGCCAUGCAUGUAUAAGUUUAAUCGUAUUUACGAGAAACCGCGAACGGCUCAUUACAAUGGCCAUGAUUUACUUGAUCUUGAUAAUCCUAAAUGGACAACUGUGGAAAAGCUAGAGCUAAUACAUGCACUAAAGCUUUGUCCUUACGGAAAAGCGCAUUUAUUAGAACAAAACCAAGCGGCUUCGGCUGCUUCUUGUUGACUCAGAAUAACUAAGCUGACCGCAUGGCCAAGUGCCGGCGGCGAAUCUUUCAAGCGUCCACUUUAUCAACUUGACGGGAGCAUAAUCGACUCCCGUGGUGGUGACGGAUAACGGAGGAUCAGGGUUCGACUCCGGAGAAGGGGCCUGAGAAAUGGCCACUACGUCUAAGGAUGGCAGCAGGCGCGCAAAUUACCCACUCUCGGCUCGAGGAGGUAGUGACGAGAAAUAACGAGGUCGUUCUCAAAUGAGGCCGGUCAUCGGAAUGGGUACAAUUUAAACCCUUUAACGAGUAUCAAGCAGAGGGCAAGUCUGGUGCCAGCAGCCGCGGUAAUUCCAGCUCUGCUAAUACAUAGAAUUAUUGCUGCGGUUAAAAAGCUCGUAGUUGGAUUCGUGUCGAUACCCUGGAACCCUUCGGGUGUCUCUAGGUGUUAUCGAUUUAUCGUAAUGUUCGGUCUUGAGUCCUUAACAGGAUUCCUGACAGGCGUUACAAGUUUACUUUGAACAAAUCAGAGUGCUUCAAACAGGCGUUUAGCUUGAAUGAUCGUGCAAGGAAUAAUAGAAUACGAUUUCGGUUCAGUUUUAUUGGUUUUACGGACUGAGAUAAUGGUUAACAGAGACAAACGGGGGCAUUUGUAUGGCCCCGUGAGAGGUGAAAUUCUUGGACCGUGGCCAGACAAACUACAGCGAAAGCAUUUGCCAAGAAUG
rnacentral:rRNA from 1 species